AGAGUGCGUAAUAGCUCACUAGUCGAGUGACACUGCGCCGAAAAUGUACCGGGGCUAAACAUAUUACCGAAGCUGUGGAUUGUCCUUUGGACAAUGGUAGGAGAGCGUUCUAAGGGCGUUGAAGCAUGAUCGUAAGGACAUGUGAAGCGCUUAGAAGUGAGAAUGCCGGUGUGAGUAGCGAAAGACGGGUGAGAAUCCCGUCCACCGAUUGACUAAGGUUUCCAGAGGAAGGCUCGUCCGCUCUGGGUUAGUCGGGUCCUAAGCUGAGGCCGACAGGCGUAGGCGAUGG
rnacentral:rRNA from 1 species